UGGGGAAUUUUCCGCAAUGGGUGAAAGCCUGACGGAGCAAUACCGCGUGAGGGACGAAGGCCUCUGGGCUGUAAACCUCUUUUCUCAAGGAAGAAGAUAUGACGGUACUUGAGGAAUAAGCCACGGCUAAUUCCGUGCCAGCAGCCGCGGUAAUACGGGAGUGGCAAGCGUUAUCCGGAAUUAUUGGGCGUAAAGCGUCCGCAGGCGGCUUUUCAAGUCUGCUGUUAAAGCGUGGAGCUUAACUCCAUCAUGGCAGUGGAAACUGAAAGGCUUGAGUAUGGUAGGGGCAGAGGGAAUUCCCGGUGUAGCGGUGAAAUGCGUAGAUAUCGGGAAGAACACCAGUGGCGAAGGCGCUCUGCUGGGCCAUUACUGACGCUCAUGGACGAAAGCCAGGGGAGCGAAAGGGAUUAGAUACCCCUGUAGUCA
rnacentral:rRNA from 1 species